GAACGCUGGCGGCGUGCUUAACACAUGCAAGUCGAACGGAAAGGCCCUGCUUUUGUGGGGUGCUCGAGUGGCGAACGGGUGAGUAACACGUGAGUAACCUGCCCUUGACUUUGGGAUAACUUCAGGAAACUGGGGCUAAUACCGGCUAGGAGCUCCUGCUGCAUGGUGGGGGUUGGAAAGUUUCGGCGGUUGGGGCUGGACUCGCGGCUUAUCAGCUUGUUGAUGGGGUAGUGGCUUACCAAGGCUUUGACGGGUAGCCGGCCUGAGAGGGUGACCGGCCACAUUGGGACUGAGAUACGGCCCAUACUCCUACGGGAGGCAGCAGUGGGGAAUAGUGCACAAUGGGCGGAAGCCUGAUGCAGCAACUCCGCGUGCGGGAUGACGGCCUUCGGGUUGUAAACCGCUUUCGCCUGUGACGAAGCGUGAGUGACGGUAAUGGGUAAAGAAGCACCGGCUAGCUACGUG
rnacentral:rRNA from 1 species